UUUUCUCUGCCUUGAUUUGUUAGCGCAGAUUAUAAUAAUCCAACACCUUGAUAAUCGGGGACCGGACUCUUCGGCGGAUUGCAGACCUCCCGCUUUUAGCGGAAGAAGGGAGCGUGGUAGCCAGAAGGAGGUCACCCACCUGCUUUUUGGCGGGUUUUUAUCAACUGCGCGACGGCAAGGCGGACAAAAG
rnacentral:other from 1 species